rnacentral:rRNA from 1 species
GACUCUGCCCGAUAGUGGGGGAUAACCUGGGGAAACCCAGGCUAAUACCGCCCACGUCCUACGGGAGAAAGGGGGCUCCGGCUCCCGCUAUUGGAUGAGCCUAUGUCGGAUUAGCUAGUUGGUAAGGUAAUGGCUUACCAAGGCGACGAUCCAUAACUGGUCUGAGAGGAUGAUCAGCCACAUCGGGACUGAUACACGGCCCGAACUCCUACGGGAGGCAUCAAUGGGGAAUAUUGGACAAUGGGGGCAACCCUGAUCCAGCCAUGCCGGGUGUGUGAAUAAGGCCCUC